GGAGGAGGUCAUUAUGCGAGAGAAUGCAAAUCUCCGCGUGUGAUGAUUGCUACCGCGGAUGGUGGAUAUGAGUCCGCUAGUGACUAUGAUGAGGAGACUUUGGCUCUUAUUACACGUGAAGAACAUGGUGAAGAUGAUUCUGAUCAUGAGACGCAAUACAUGGCUCCUGAAGACGCUGACAGGUAUGAAUGUUUAGUUGCUCAACGUGUUUUGAGUGUGCAGGUCACACAAGCUGAGCAAAAUCAGAGGCACAAUUUGUUCCAUACCAAGGGAGUUGUGAAGGAACGUUCUGUGCGCGUCAUAAUAGACGGAGGG
rnacentral:rRNA from 1 species